UACAAUGACUUUUUUAACCAUGUGCAUGGUUAAUUUUUUCAUGGUAAAUGUUUGAGAUUACAAACACAAAAUAACGUUAUAUAAAGUCAAAUGUAGAUGAAAAAUAGUUUAAUUAACGUUGUAUAAGGUUGUUGUUUUUUGAGAGAGACGGAAAAAUGUGAGAGAUACAUAAAAAUUUAAAGUGCCUUCGGCUCUGUUGUGGUCAACAAUUUUGAACUGCUUUGUGUUUGACGAAGUUCAAUAUUACAAUAUACGAAGUUGCAACGAAUGUGACUGUCAUAUUCCCCCUCCUCCUCUUUAUCGAAUCUCUUUCUGUGGUCUGAAUAUGUGUAAGAAAGAUCAAAUAGACAAUCACUUCUUUAGUUGGUGUUGAAUAGUGCAAGGGAGUAGUGCACGUGCUCGUGGGAAUAGUGCUUGGUAUAAAGUUGUUUUUUUCUCUGGUGUCUUUUUUUGGGUGUUCGUGCGUACAUUUUUGUCGGUGUUUGGCGUUUUGUAGUUUUUUUCACAAUGGCUGAGGAAUAUAAUUUAAAAUCACUCGGUAAGGCGUUAAAAAAUAAAAUUUAUAUUAAACAUAUAUCUUUCUUUACCAGCCCUCCCUUAAAUAUACAUACAAUUUGUAAUGGAAAUACAUAUUUUAGAAAUAUGCGGUAUUAAUAAAUAAAUAAUAAAUAAACUUGUAAAAAUUA